AUGGGGAAGGGCCUAAUGCGUGGUAUAUUGAUGACUUGGUGCAGAGUCCCUUCGAUUCCCACACGAGGCUCCUCGGUCACAAGCGUGCCAUUUGGGAUUCCGCAACCUGUUCUCAAUGCGAUCAUAAAUCAGGCAUUGCUAUCCGCUGUAUAUAAAGGCCUCCACCUUUCCCGUAUGGCAAUCGCCCAUUCAACCGAGCAGAGCAAGGAGAAGCUCAAACAGCGAAGGGCAGCAAUGGUGAAAAUACUGGAGAUCGGAGGGGGUCGUCUCGACGCCGAGGAGGACGACGACUGCUGCGAGAUCGACCCCGCCGAGUUCGCCAAGAAGCUGAAUCUCAAAGCAUCAGACGACGACGAUGUGGUCGUUGUUGCGGCCAAAGGCCCGGUAGGUCAGAUCAGUUAUUGUUCUGUUAACUCGGUAGCUGCAUAUGAAUCGAAAGGCACCAAGGAAAUUGUUUGUUUUCUUAACCAUAUUCCCCGUGAUGUAAAAUUCAUGAACCACGGGAACAUCUUCUCUUUUUCCUGUCAUGGCCUGUAUAUCAAAGUCAAGGUGGAAAUAGAUCGGUCGGAGCAUUCCGCAGAAACUUUGGAUGGACGCGCCAACGGUAAUGGCGGCCUGCAUGGACGCGUUGCUGGGGAUCGCUUGGAUAACCCUCUGAAGAUUGAAGAAGAUGAACCAACUAUCCAUCAGAUGGGGCCUCUUGAGGCCAAGCCUGAUGUCAAAAGCAUCCCUGGCGAGCCACUGCUGGUGAUGUCCGAUUCCGAAUUGCCCUUUGGGGGGCUCUUCGCUGACAUGUGCCCUGUGAAGAGCGAACUUGAAGAUGGCAACGGCGCAGAUGAGCUCUCUGUUGCAGCCAUCCCCGACGUGCCGUUGCCCAACAGCGUUCCUGACAUGUCCCCGCUGAAAUGCGAACCUGAAGAUGGCACCAGUGGUGUCGAUGAGCAUGAACUCUCUGAGGACGAAGUCAUGCCUGAGAUGUCGCUGCUGAAGUGUGACUCUGAAUGCUUCGAGGAGGUCGUCAAUCCUGGCAUGUCGCAGGCAAAGCGUGAGACUGAAGGUGAUGCCGGUGCUGUGGAUGAACCCAUCGAGGAGGAAAUCAUCCCUGACAUGUCGCCGCUGAAAUGUGGGUCUGAAUGCUUUGAGGAGGUCGUCAUUCCUGACUUGUCGCCGAUAACGCACAACAGUGGCACGGAUGAACUCUUCAAGGAGAAAACCAUCCCUGACAAGCCGCUGCUGAAGUCUGAAUCUGAAUACUUUGAGGAUGUUGCUGUUGCUGUUCCUGUCAUUUCGCCAAUAAAGCAUGACGAUCAUGGUGCCGAUGAGCGUGUUGGAGAAGAUGGGUAUGACCAUCUCCCAGAGAUGGAUAGACUCAGCCCUGAAGGAAGUGAUUUUGAUGAAGACGGUGACUACGUUGUCGUAGUGGCCCUUAGGGAUUAUCCGCAUCCAAGGAACUUGUGUGGAAAUUACCCGUUUGAUACAACUCCGAAUGAGAGCCGUUGCUGCAAGUGUUAUUGCUCUUUGUGUGAGGUGCCUGCCUCCAGUUGUCUAGAGUGGAAAGGAACAGAAGGGCACUGCCAUAGUACCAAGUAA
rnacentral:rRNA from 1 species